CAGCGCCACAAGUGGCAAUCACAUUUAUUGGGCCUAAAGCGUCCGUAGCCGGUUCAAUGAAUCUCUUGUGAAAUCAUGGGGCUCAACUCCAUGAAGUGCAGGAGACACUAUUGGACUAGGAACCGGGAGGAGUCAGAGGUAUUCUGGGGGGAGCGGUAAAAUGUUAUAAUCCCCGGAGGACCACCUGUGGCGAAGGCGUCUGACUAGAACGGAUUCGACGGUGAGGGACGAAGGCUGGGGGAGCAAAACGGAUUAGAUACCCGAGUAGUCCC
rnacentral:rRNA from 1 species